CCUAAUCAGAGCAGAACCCUAAUCAGAGAAGAACCCUAAUCAGAGCAGAACCCUAAUCAGAGCAGAACCCUAAUCAGAGCAGAACCCUAACCAGAGCAGAACCCUAAUCAGAGCAGAACCCUAAUCAGAGCAGAACCCUAAUCAGAGCAGAACCCUAAUCAGAGCAGAACCCUAAUCAGAGCAGAACCCUCAUCAGAGCAGAAUCCUAACCAGAGCAGAACCCUAACCAGAGCAGAACCCUAAUCAGAGCAGAACCCUAAUCAGAGCAGAACCCUAAUCAGAGCAGAACCCUAAUCAGAGCAGAACCCUAAUCAGACCAGAACCCUAAUCAGAGCCCUUCGCAGGGUUAGGGUUAGGAUUAGGGUCUGCCUUACACAGAACCCUAAUCAGAGCGGACCCCUAAUCAGACAAGAACCCUAAUCAGAGCCCUACGCAGAACCCUUUGUAGAACCUUACACAGAACCCUGACCUUUCUGAACAGGGUCCAUCGAGCUGUUGUCCUAAAAUGUAACAUUGACCUUUGCAAACAAACCAAAUGAAAACUAAAAGUGGCCUUUGGUGAAGACGCAGAUGUAAAUAAUCAUUUCAGCUUCACCCACUUUAAUUCACUGAGAGAUCGAGAGCGCCCUCUAGAUGAAUUUCGGCCGAUUGUGGUACAGCAGUGUUAACAGGGAGUGGGCUCUGGAGUAAUCCAUCGUCUUUAUAGAGAACUCCGACUCGACCCCAGCGUCACGACUCAACUCCGUCUCUACGCAGCUCUGGGUCGUCCAAUCAGCAGCUUGUAAACAUUUACUGUUGCUUAGUGACCAAAUGAUGUGCAGCUUUUUAUCAACACGUAGAAAAAUGACCGGUUUGUUUUGAAUCAAACAAAUCGAACAUGUAAAAUCCUGAGGGUUGAGAAAAAAUGUUUUUAACCGUAAAAGAGACGAAACGUCUUCCUGGACUUUUCUGAACCGAAGGACAACAGGCGAUCAGAGGACGUUGAUUACAGAGCUCAGCGGGGGGGGGGGGGGCUUCAGUCUCCACCUCAGAACUGAGGUUUAAUUGAACUUCCUGUGUCCACCAGCACCAGAUCGGACCUCCACACGUGUUUGAUCUGAAGCUGCAUGAAAACACACGUUGACCAGGAACAUGGAGGAUUUUCUUUUACUGAGUCAUUUAGAUUUUUUGGAGUUUGGCGAAGUUUCACUUAUUUUUAUGCUGUGGCGACUUUUCUCUCACAAACUAACAAACAUCAGCUGCCAUCAUAUAAAACAUUAUUGAGACUUUAACUAUGUCAGUUUCUGUUUAUUAUAAUAAAAGAUGAUCUAACGAUUGAAAAAGGAAUUAUUAGACUUUUUGAACUGGAUAUAUUUUCCUACAGUACUUUUAUUUUGGCAGUGCGGCAUUGGUCCUUCCUGUCCCUCCUGAUCUGAUGACGUCAUGUUUCAAGUUAUUUACACUGAGUGUUUGUAUUGUUGUGAUUUAUUGAAGCUGAAAUGAGACGUGAGCUCGAUCUCGCUGCAGUGUCACUGUCAUGGCGACACCCUGUAUCACUGCUGCCUCACCUCGCCGCCACGCCCCCCCCCCACGUGCUUCCUGUGUCUGUGGAACAAAAAGACUGAACAUCAAAACAAAAAAGAGUUUGUUUUUGGAGUGAACGCACAUUAGUCACUUUACGUCUCGAGAUGAUUGACUUUGUUCUCUCUUUGAUGACACUGAGAGGAUUCACGCUUUGUUCUGAUUGGUUGAGUUUUCCUUCGAGACAGGAAGUGGGUGACUAACACCAUGACGACACAAAGAUUGUUCCGUGUUUAUUUUUUUUUCCUUUUUGUAGAUUUUCAAGUGAUUUAUUCUGUUGGUAUAGAAUUAUUUUAAGCAUCUGAUUGGCUGAUGAAUCUGCUGUAUGCAUGAUGUCACCUUGACGAUGUCAGACUUUUGUUUCAAUGGAUGAUGUAACCACACUGUCAGUUACAUAGUCAGAGGUCGACCUGCAGCUGAUGAUGUCAUGAAUAACUGCAGCUGGAUGCAGGUGAUGUAACAGGUGAUGUAACAGGUGAUGUCACAGGUGAUGUAAUAACAGGUGAUGUAACAGGUGAUGUAACAGGUGAAUGGUGACGUGAGUGAAUAACAUGAGUUACAAUAAAGAGCGUUUCUCUUUUGCUUUGAGCAGAAA